AUGGACGCGGUGGAGUCCUCGUCGCCCUACUCGCCGCUCUCGCUACGCCACAAGCUGCGGACCACCUUCUGCAGCUGCUUCGGCUCGCCGUCGUCGCCGGGCAGCGGCGCCGGCGCGGAGAGGCCGCACAGCAGCGUUGGCAGGGCCAGGUGGAGGCGACGCGAGGCCGCCACGGGGGACUUCAGGUACGACCCGCUCAGCUACGUGCUCAACUUCGACGAGGGCGGCAGCGGCGGCGGCAGCGACGACGGCAACCGGGACGCGGAGGACGCCGCCUUCCGGUACCGGAACUUCAACUCGCGCCUGCCGCCCUCGCCGACACCGGCCCCCAGACGUCCCGCUACGAGUGAUUGA
rnacentral:rRNA from 1 species